GAUAAACGCUGGCGGCGUGCUUAACACAUGCAAGUCGAACGAAGUUUUUCUUUCGGGAGGAACUUAGUGGCGGACGGGUGAGUAACGCGUGGGUAACCUGCACUGUACAGGGGGACAACAGCUGGAAACGGCUGCUAAUACCGCAUACGCCCUUAGCACUGCAUGGUGCAUAGGGAAAAGGAGCAAUCCGGUACAGGAUGGACCCUCGUCUGAUUAGCCCGUUGGCAGGGUAACGGCCUACCAAAGCGACGAUCAGUAGCCGAUCUGAGAGGAUGUACGGCCACAUUGGGGCUGAGACACGGCCCAGACUCCUACGGGAAGCAGGAGUGGGUAAUAUUGCAAAAUGGAGGAAACUCUGAUGCAGCGACGCCGCGUGAGUGAAGAAGUAUUUCGGUAUGUAAAGCUCUAUCAGCAGGAAAGAAAAUGACGGUACCUGACUAAGAAGCACCGGCUAAAUACGUG
rnacentral:rRNA from 1 species